CCCUUAGAUGUUCUGGGCCGCACGCGCGCUACACUGAUGCAUUCAACGAGUCUAGAACCUGCUCUGAUAGGGGUGGGUAAUCUUUUGAAUGUGCAUCGUGAUUGGGAUAGAUGAUUGCAAUUUUUCAUCUUCAACGAGGAAUGCCUAGUAAACGCAAGUCAUCAGCUUGCAUUGAUUACGCCCCUGCCCUUUGUACACACCGCCCGUCGCUCCUACCGAUUGAAUGAUCCGAUGAAUAUCAUGGAUUGAGGAUGCAAGUAGGUUCGCCUAUCUUCAUCUUCGAGAAGUGAAGUAAAUCUUAUCAUUUAGAGGAAGGAGAAGUCGUAACA
rnacentral:rRNA from 1 species